AAAAAAAUCCCAUCUGAUGACCUCAUGACAAACAGAUGGAAACAAAGACAUUCUCAGUGGUAGAAUUUGCAGAUGACAAUUCUGUGGAAAUUGUCCCAACCACAUGGCUGGAGGAAACCACCAAAGGAACCAUUUGCUUUUGGACGUUUUUAAACACAAGGCAGCUGGUGAGAAAUAAAGCAUUGCUUGACAAGCAAAAGUGGAGGGCGGUUAUCAUUAAAGAAAAUUUGGCUACAAACAGACUCGUAUACCAAAGCCUUGCAAAAAUGCCAGCUUGUCACAGAAACAUCUAAUAUCGAAACAGAGGACAUAACACAUAAAAAGAGGGCACACAAAAAGCCUUGGCGAUAUCAGUCAGAAACUGAAAUCUCCUCAGAAGAUGAAAGCAGAGUUAUAAAGAAAAAAAAAGUGUCAAAACCUGUUCCACCUAAAUAUCAGCCACUUCCCAAAACUUAUCCUGAAUACAAGGACAAUCGAGAAAAGCCAAGUUCUCCGGAUUUAUUCUCAGAGGCAUCAUUGCCACAGUUCUCACUGCAGAAUGUGUCACCACCCCAACAAGUUUCAGCAGUGUCACAUCUGUUAAGAGAGCCAGAGUCCUCAUCUGAUGAAGCCACAAAGAACUACCGCAUAAAAGUCUUACAGAAGUUGCAAGAACUCUGUGAGAACCAGCAAGAUAUCCUUGCUAUGCAACGGAAAAUUCUGGCUGCUGUGGCUGGUAGGGGUACUCCAGGACAGGUGAACUACCUACGGUCAAUCGGGGUUCGAAUCCAGGAGCAGCUGUUCGGAAAAUGCUGCGUAAGGUGGCAACCAAUGAGGUCCUGGGUGCAUACAGCCUUCGGGGGAAGAAAUCAAAACUAGCCUUCCAAGACCUCAG
ensembl:lncRNA